GCUCAAAGCCUGUGGCAAGGGCAAAUCGACAUAAAAAAGCUUGUAAAUUGAAAAAUUGCUAUUCAAACCCGUCAGAUGCAGCGUUUUUAAAUAAAAAGAUCAUUCGCAUGGCAGCAACAUGACGUCUGGAAUUUCUUGUAUCCAUUCUACAAACGGUUUUUUGCUUACUCAAUGAAGAGUCGCGCCGUUUCAUAAUUUCUCAAGCAAAUUCCCUCCAAAGCAAUAAACUUCAGGAUUACUUGAUAAGGCGAUCUAUAUCGAUGGCAUGCAUUCACAAUAUGAAAGGCUUAGAAUGUCAUUAAAAAUUUCAAGUGACCCACAUUAUUGCCAUACUAUAUAACACUGUUUCGAUUUUUCUUAGAGACCCGUAGCAUCAACAUCCAGCUACCUUUGAAAAGAAUAGACAAUAAAUCCAAACCCAUAUAUAACGAACAAGGCUUUUAUUUCUAGGAAGACGGCAUUUAAUUUCUCAAUGAAGAGCACGCGUUUUGAAAAAUAUUAACCACAACAUUUUAACUAUUUACCAGAACGAAUGGUGGAGAGGACAAGAUUUUUAUACACAGUAAUUCAGUUGAAUAAGAUAAACGGGUAACCAGCGUCUCCGGUAUAAUUAAACGGUGACCUCAAUGUGAUUCACUGGAUAAUGAUUUUGUUUCGACUUUUUCCCAACUUGUUAAGAAAGUCUUCACAACAAUUAUUUUAUAGAUGUCUACAUGGUUGAACGCAUGGUUCCCAUGGCGAGUUGGUAAAAUGUGUGGUCGUAACACCCCACAGACCACCAUAUAUCGUUCUUGUAAGAUUCCUCCAUACUUGACGCAUUACAAGGAAACCUGGAAUUGGAAUAGUUUCUAUUACGAAUAACUUUUUUUUUUUUGGAGUCUAGAAAGAAACACUUGUAGAGUACCUCUUACUACGACUGCUUGAUUUUAGGAGAUGCUAACACAAUGAAUAGCAUAGAGCGUCUUACACCAGGAGGUCUUUACAAAGCUAAAAAUGACACUUUAGAGACUUAACACAAAAAAAUUGGAACCUGCGCUUACUGAAGGAAACACCUUCUCUUGCUUCUUUUUGAAUAUGGAUUCCCAGCUCUUUAACCCCUCCUGCGUAUUUCGGGUCAAGAAAAAAAAUUUAAUUUUGCUACUGAAAAACAAUCAAGUUGUUUAAAAUUUGUCUCGACGGUAAAGCCGAGAGUCAACUUUUUCCUCUGACAAUUUUUUGCAAGUAUUAUUUUAGAUAUUUGAACUUUUUAAACGUAUAAGGCUCUUAUAGGGAUGUUGAUUCAUUAUAUUGUCGUAUACGUGAGUAUAUUUUCCAUUUACCAAUAAAAUAUAAGGCGUUUUUCUCAUGUAUAUGAUGGAUUGUUGUUUUAUUGAGCCGGGUAAAGUAACGAAUGAAAAAUUUAUUUUUGAUUAAUAGCGGGUGAAUUACCCUUAUUCCUUUUUUUUUCAAAAAGUAAAAAGUUACCAUGUUUUACAUUUUGUAAUGUCGCUUCGCUAACGAAAAGCAUUUCUUUAAAAAACAACAUAGCGCUUAGCAUUUUUCAGAGUUGAAGUGCGCUUCUCAUCACAACAGACGAAUUUUCAAACUCAUCGAAAACUCAAAUUUACUUUAAAUAAACGAUGCAUUUAUUUUUCGUGGUUUUUUUUUCUUUGCACUUUGCAGCUGUUCAAAAAUUUUUAAAAGGAACCAAUAUUAGCUUGUUUUCCAAGUAAGUGCAUACAUUUUGCUUUUAUAUAUAAAACAAUUUGAAAGCGCACGUCACGUCGCAUCUACUCAAUGUAAAACAAAAAUAUCUUAUCUUAAAGCUCAAAAACUUUUUUUUUUUCAAUUAUAGAAAUUCUUUUUAAAACAAAAAUAUCUGUCGCAAAGAACAAUAAGCUUAAAUUAAAAAUUGACAAUACAAGAAAUACCAUAAAAGAACCAUUCAUGGUGACUGUUAUAUCACAAAGCGUCGUUUGAAUAGACACUCAGAGGAAAUCUACAGCGAAGAUGACAAAAUAAUUUAUUUUUGGAUAGGAAUU